AUCGAGGUUAAAGGUACCCGUACCGCAAACCGACACAGGUGGGUGAGGAGAGUAUCCUAAGGCCAGCGAGAGAACUGUUGUUAAGGAACUCGGCAAAAUGACCCCGUAACUUAGGGAUAAGGGGUGCCACCAUCAGGUGGCCGCAGAGAAUAGGCCCAAGCGACUGUUUACCAAAAACAUAGGUUUCUGCUAAGUCGCAAGACGAUGUAUAGGAGCUGACGCCUGCCCGGUGCUGGAAGGUUAAGGGGAUCUGUUAGAGCAAUCGAAGCAGUGAACUUAAGCCCCAGUAAACGGCGGCCGUAACUAUAACGGUCCUAAGGUAGCGAAAUUCCUUGUCGGGUAAGUUCCGACCCGCACGAAAGGCGUAACGAUUUGGGCACUGUCUCAACAACAGACUCGGUGAAAUUGUAAUUCCGGUGAAGAUGCCGGAUACCUGCGACAGGACGGAAAGACCCCAUGGAGCUUUACUGUAGCUUGACAUUGGGUCUUGGUACUACAUGUACAGGAUAGGUGGGAGGCUUUGAAACCAGGACGCCAGUUUUGGCGGAGCCAUCCUUGGGAUACCACCCUUGUAGUACUGG
rnacentral:rRNA from 1 species